CAAUUUAAAGCUUUAUAGUAAAGUAUUUCAUUUACAUUGAAAUGAUAUUUGUGCAAUUCAAUUUAAAUUGA
rnacentral:tRNA from 1 species